rnacentral:lncRNA from 1 species
UCAGGAUUAAUCUGGAUUACAUCACAUUCAGGAUUGUCAAAGCCUCCUCCCACCUGCUCGAGAUAUACUUCAUUUUCCUGCAAAUCCUGUGACAAUUCAGGUAGAGAGCGGUUACAUUCAAGUCCUGCAUCCUGAACUUUUCAAUUGUUUGUAAAAUUUAUUCAGUUUACCUUAACGAAGCAAUUUUCUGAUUGCACUUCAUUAGAAACAAGGUCCAAUUGCAUUUGUGACGUGCUAUUAUUGCAGUCAUCGGAUGGUGGUACACAGGUACUUCUGUCGUGUCCACUGUCAGUAGGCCUAGUCUCGAAAUUUAUCACCUCCUUAUCAGUUCCGGACUGCAACUUCUUUUCCUGUAAGUUUACUAAACCAC